UACGGGGGGGGCUAGCGUUGUUCGGAAUUACUGGGCGUAAAGGGCGCGUAGGCGGUUCAUUAAGUUGGAUGUGAAAACUCUGGGCUUAACCCAGAGCCUGCAUUCAAAACUGAUGGGCUGGAGUUCUGGAGGGGAUAGCGGAAUUCCCGGUGUAGAGGUGAAAUCCGUAGAUAUCGGGAGGAACACCAGUGGCGAAGGCGGCGAUCUGGGAAGAUACUGACGCUGAGGUGCGAAAGCGUGGGGAGCAAACAGG
rnacentral:rRNA from 1 species